AGUGAGAUAUCUGGGUCAAGUGGAGACUCCAGUCCAAGUUUUCUAAGGAAUCUCCAUAUUGCUUUCCAUAGUGGUUGCACCAACUGCAAUCCCACCAGCAAU
rnacentral:pre_miRNA from 1 species